rnacentral:lncRNA from 1 species
UCUAGUAUAUAUACAGCUAGAAAAGAGUCGUUGCAGAAAUGACCGUUGAAGUAGAUAACCUUUUGUCUUCAAGCAACUUGUCUUGAUGCAGUUUGGUUGUUUCUAAAACUGAGUAAGAGUUUCAGAUACUUUGACCAUGUACAGAGAAGACUUUCCUUAUUCAGCUAACAAGUCUGAUGUCCCACGUUCUCAAGAGUGGACAGACAAA